GAUUAAACACAAAAAAUUUUUGUGUGUUCACUGUGAGCCUCUGAGUUUACUGAACAUACUCCUGGACGUGAUUUUGAAACCACCUCAAGUAAAAAAGGUUUACUUGACAACCGAGAUAACAGGGUAUAUGCGACAGUAAAUGAACCUUGCUUUCUUGAAUAUGCUCCAGUAUGUAAUAUAGUCUUAUCUUCACAGGAUGGGUGUCUGCUUUUACAAACUGCGAAGAAAGCACAGUUUAUGGUACUGCUUAUAAGGCACUUUUUGAACAUCUUGGCUUGAACAGGACUGACGUUCCAAAAACCCACCUACUGCCUUACUUCAUGGACCCUCCUACUGACGUUUAUGUGGACCUGUAUGUGACGUCCAUCAUAGAAGUGAAUGAAAAAGCCCAGAGCCUCUCAACACAGGUCAAAAAGAUGACUGCUUGGUUCAAUAACAUGGGGUGGCAGUACGAUCAGUUUUGUGGAAUUGAAGCAGUUCCAGCAACAAAAGAUAUGUUUUGGACUCCAGAUAUUAUUAUCAAAGAAAG